AACGCGAAGAACCUUACCUGGGCUCGAAAUGCAGGAGACCGGGGUAGAAAUAUCCUUUCCCCGCAAGGGGCUGCUGUAUAGGUGCUGCAUGGCUGUCGUCAGCUCGUGUCGUGAGAUGUUGGGUUAAGUCCCGCAACGAGCGCAACCCUUAUUGCCAGUUACCACCGGGUUAUGCCGAGCACUCUGGCGAAACCGCACAGGAUAACUGUGAGGAAGGUGGGGAUGACGUCAAGUCCUCAUGGCCUUUAUGUCCAGGGCUACACACGUGCUACAAUGGUCGGUACAAACCGUCGCAAACCCGCGAGGGGGAGCUAAUCGGAAAAAGCCGGCCUCAGUUCGGAUUGGAGUCUGCAACCCGACUCCAUGAAGCUGGAAUCGCUAGUAAUCGCGGAUCAGAACGCCGCGGUGAAUACGUUCCCGGGCCUUUGUACACACCGCAUAC
rnacentral:rRNA from 1 species